AGUGUGAAGGCAUAGAGCCUUCACUUUUGUACACCGUAAGGUGGUGUACGAAUAAGGGCUGGGCAAGACCGGUGCCAGCCGCCGCGGUAAUACCGGCAGCCCGAGUGAUGGCCGAUAUUAUUGGGCCUAAAGCGUCCGUAGCUGGCCGGACAAGUCCGUUGGGAAAUCUGUUCGCUUAACGAGCAGGCGUCCAGCGGAAACUGUUCGGCUUGGGACCGGAAGACCUGAGGGGUACGUCCGGGGUAGGAGUGAAAUCCUGUAAUCCUGGACGGACCACCGGUGGCGAAAGCGCCUCAGGAGAACGGAUCCGACAGUGAGGGACGAAAGCUAGGGUCUCGAACCGGAUUAGAUACCCGGGUAGUCCUAGCUGUAAACGAUGCCCGCUAGGUGUGGCGCAGGCUACGAGCCUGCGCUGUGCCGUAGGGAAGCCGANAAGCGGGCCGCCUGGGAAGUACNUCUGCAAGGAUGAAACUUAAAGGAAUUGGCGGGGGAGCACUACAACCGGAGGAGCCUGCGGUUUAAUUGGACUCAACGCCGGACAUCUCACCAGCUCCGACAGUAGUAAUGACGGUCAGGUUGAUGACCUUACCCGAUGCUAUUGAGAGGAGGUGCAUGGCCGCCGUCAGCUCGUACCGUGAGGCGUCCUGUUAAGUCAGGCNACGAGCGAGACCCGCACUCUUAAUUGCCAGCAGUACCCUUUGGGUAGCUGGGUACAUUAGGUGGACUGCCGCNGCUAAAGCGGAGGAAGGAACGGGCAACGGUAGGUCAGUAUGCCCCGAAUGAGCUGGGCAACACGCGGGCUACAAUGGUCGAGACAAUGGGAUGCAACUCCG
rnacentral:rRNA from 1 species